GAUGAACGCUGGCGGCGUGCCUAAUACAUGCAAGUCGAGCGAACGGACGAGAAGCUUGCUUCUCUGAUGUUAGCGGCGGACGGGUGAGUAACACGUGGAUAACCUACCUAUAAGACUGGGAUAACUUCGGGAAACCGGAGCUAAUACCGGAUAAUAUUUUGAACCGCAUGGUUCAAAAGUGAAAGACGGUCUUGCUGUCACUUAUAGAUGGAUCCGCGCUGCAUUAGCUGGUUGGUAAGGUAACGGCUUACCAAGGCAACGAUGCAUAGCCGACCUGAGAGGGUGAUCGGCCACACUGGAACUGAGACACGGUCCAGACUCCUACGGGAGGCAGCAGUAGGGAAUCUUCCGCAAUGGGCGAGAGCCUGACGGAGCAACGCCGCGUGAGUGAUGAAGGUCUUCGGAUCGUAAAACUCUGUUAUUAGGGAAGAACAUAUGUGUAAGUAACUGUGCACAUCUUGACGGUACCUAAUCAGAAAGCCACGGCUAACUACGUG
rnacentral:rRNA from 1 species